AUUGAACGCUGGCGGCAUGCCUUACACAUGCAAGUCGAACGGCAGCGCGGACUUCGGUCUGGCGGCGAGUGGCGAACGGGUGAGUAAUACAUCGGAACGUACCCUGUUGUGGGGGAUAACUAGUCGAAAGAUUAGCUAAUACCGCAUACGACCUGAGGGUGAAAGUGGGGGACCGCAAGGCCUCACGCAGCAGGAGCGGCCGAUGUCUGAUUAGCUAGUUGGUGGGGUAAAGGCCCACCAAGGCGACGAUCAGUAGCUGGUCUGAGAGGACGAUCAGCCACACUGGGACUGAGACACGGCCCAGACUCCUACGGGAGGCAGCAGUGGGGAAUUUUGGACAAUGGGGGCAACCCUGAUCCAGCAAUGCCG
rnacentral:rRNA from 1 species